rnacentral:rRNA from 1 species
CAGUCGCCGCGGGAAUACGAAGGGUGCAAGCGUUAAUCGGAAUUACUGGGCGUAAAGCGUGCGUAGGCGGUUUGUUAAGUCUGUUGUGAAAUCCCCGGGCUCAACCUGGGAAUGGCAAUGGAUACUGGCAAGCUAGAGUGUGUCAGAGGAUGGUGGAAUUCCCGGUGUAGCGGUGAAAUGCGUAGAGAUCGGGAGGAACAUCAGUGGCGAAGGCGGCCAUCUGGGACAACACUGACGCUGAGGCACGAAAGCGUGGGGAGCAAACAGGAUUAGAUCCGGUAGUCCCUGUCUCUUAUACACA